UCAAGCGAAUAAGGGCUUACGAUGGAUACCUUGGUAUCUAGAAACGAUGAAGGGCAUGGCUACCAGUGAAAUGCUUCGGGGAAUUGGAAGCAAGUAAUGAUCCGGAGGUUCCCGAAUAAGGAAACUUUUUAAACUGCUUGCUGAAUCUAUAGGCAAGAAAGAGUGAACCUGGCGAAUUGAAACAUCUUAGUAGCCAGAGGAAAAGAAAGCAAAAGCGAUUCCCUAAGUAGCGGCGAGCGAAACGGGAACAGCCUAAACCACUUUUUUUAGGUGGGGUUGUGGGACAGCACUAACGAACGAGUAACGGUUAAGCGAAAUAGUUGGAAUACUAUAUCAUAGAAGGUGAAAUUCCUGUAGCUGAAAACCCGACCUUUUCUAGCUGUAUCCCGAGUAGUAUGGAGCACGUGAAAUUCCGUAUGAAUCCACGAGGACCACCUCGUAAGGCUAAAUAUUCCUAGAUGACCGAUAGUGAAACAGUACCGUGAGGGAAAGGUGAAAAGAACCCCGGGAGGGGAGUGAAAGAGAACAUGAAAUCGUGAGCUUACAAGCAGUGGGAGGACGACAAAACGUUUAACCUCGUGCCUGUUGAAGAAUGAGCCGGCGACUUGUAGAUAGUGGCAGGUUAAGAUAGUAAAUAUCGGAGCCAUAGCGAAAGCGAGUUUUAAUAGAGCGUAUGUCACUGUUUACAGACCCGAACCCGGAUGAUCUAGUCAUGGCCAGGGUGAAGCUUAAGUAACACUAAGUGGAGGUCCGAACCGACUGAUGUUGAAAAAUCAACGGAUGAGUUGUGACUAGGGGUGAAAUGCCAAUCGAAUCCGGAGCUAGCUGGAUCUCCUCGAAAUGCGUUGAGGCGCAGCGGCUAAUUUAGUAACUUAGGGGUAAAGCACUGUUUCGGUGCGGGCUGUGAAAACGGUACCAAAUCGAGGCAAACUCUGAAUACUAACGUUAUAAUUAGCUAGUGAGACAGUGGGGGAUAAGCUUCAUUGUCAAAAGGGAAACAGCCCAGACUACCAGCUAAGGCCCCUAAAUAAUUGCUAAGUGGUAAAGGAGGUGGGAAUGCUUAGACAGCCAGGAGGUUUGCUUAGAAGCAGCAACCCUUUAAAGAGUGCGUAAUAGCUCACUGGUCAAGUGAACCUGCGCCGAAAAUGAACGGGACUAAGUAAUUUGCCGAAGCUGUAGGAUGUUUACAUCGGUAGAGGAGCGUUCUGUAUUAGGUUGAAGCGUUAGCGUGAGCGGGCGUGGACGAAACAGAAGUGAGAAUGUCGGCUUGAGUAGCGAAAACAUUGGUGAGAAUCCAAUGCCCCGAAAACCUAAGGUUUCCUCUGGAAGGUUCGUCCGCAGAGGGUGAGUCAGGACCUAAGGCGAGACUGAAAAGUGUAGUCGAUGGAUAACAGGUUAAUAUUCCUGUACCGUCUAUUACUGGCAUCGAAGGACGGAGCAAGCUAGGUCAGCCAGACGUUGGUUUCUGGUUUAAAUGUCUAAGGUGAUGAGAAGUAGAGAAAAUACUUUGAGCUAAAGCAUGAGUACAAGAUACUAAGGUAUUAAAGUGACUGAAGUUAUACUUCCUAGAAAAGUUCGUAAUGUCCUAAGUAAUAGAUGCCUGUACCCUAAACCGACACAGGUAGGUAGGUAGAGUAUACUAAGGGGCGCGAGAUAACUCUCUUUAAGGAACUCGGCAAAAUAACUCCGUAACUUAGGAAGAAGGAGUGCCUCAUUUGAGGUUGCAAAAAAUAGACCCAAGCGACUGUUUACCAAAAACACAGGUCUCCGCUAAGUCGUAAGACAACGUAUGGGGGCUGACGCCUGCCCAGUGCCGGAAGGUUAAUUGAGUUGGUUAGUGUAAAGCGAAGCUGGCAAUCGAAGCCCCGGUGAACGGCGGCCGUAACUAUAACGGUCCUAAGGUAGCGAAAUUCCUUGUCGGGUAAGUUCCGACCCGCACGAAAGGCGUAACGAUUUGGGUACUGUCUCAAAGAGAGACUCGGCGAAAUAGACAUGUCUGUGAAGAUGCGGACUACCUGCACCUGGACAGAAAGACCCUAUGAAGCUUUACUGUAGCUUGGAAUUGGGUUUAAGUUUUUCUUGCGCAGAAUAGGUGGGAAGCUAAGAAGCUAAUCUUGUGGGAAUAGUGGAGCUAACAGUGAGAUACCACUCUGGGAAAACUGAAAUUCUAACUUUGAAUGCCGUUAGCCGGCCAAGGGACAGUUUCAGGUGGGCAGUUUGACUGGGGCGGUCGCCUCCUAAAAGGUAACGGAGGCGCGCAAAGGUUUCCUCAGGCUGGUCGGAAAUCAGUCGUAGAGUGUAAAGGCAUAAGGAAGCUUGACUGCGAGACCUACAAGUCGAGCAGGGACGAAAGUCGGCCUUAGUGAUCCGACGGUUCCGAGUGGAAGGGCCGUCGCUCAACGGAUAAAAGUUACUCUAGGGAUAACAGGCUGAUCUCCCCCAAGAGUUCACAUCGACGGGGAGGUUUGGCACCUCGAUGUCGGCUCAUCGCAUCCUGGGGCGGUAGUACGUCCCAAGGGUUGGGCUGUUCGCCCAUGAAAGCGGUACGCGAGCUGGGUUCAGAACGUCGUGAGACAGUUCGGUCCAUAUCCGGUGUAGGCGUUAGAAUAUUGAGAGGGUUUCUUCCUAGUACGAGAGGACCGGAAGGAACGCACCUCUAGUGUACCAGUUAUUGUGCCAACAGUAAACGCUGGGUAGCUAUGUGCGGUAAGAAUAACUGCUGAAAGCAUCUAAGUAGGAAGUCUGCCUCAAGAUGAGUAUUCUCACCAUUUUAAAUGGGUAAGGUCACGGUAAGACUAACCGUUUUAUAGGUACUAAGUGUAAGUGCAGUAAUGUAUUUAGCUGAAGUAUACUAACAGACCGAGGGCUUGAUUAU
rnacentral:rRNA from 1 species